rnacentral:tRNA from 1 species
CCCAAGGUCGGACUAGGGAAAAAUUUAAGCCUUCAAACUAAUAACUGGUUCGGUUGAAAGAACAUGGGCUAUUAGCUCAGGUGGUUAGAGCGCACCCCUGAUAAGGGUGAGGUCCCUGGUUCAAGUCCAGGAUGGCCCA